rnacentral:lncRNA from 1 species
CCCGCUCAUUUUCUCUCUCGAUCUGAAUGUUCGAAUCGAGCGUAGUCGCCAUCGCCAUCGUCGAUCACGUGGCCACCGAGCUCCUCGGCGAUUGAGAAUCCGUCCAGGAGGACUGCCACCCUCGGAUUCAUCUUCCCCAAGCCUUGAAUCGAGCCGGAACGUCCCAUAGCCGCGCCAUGGUCCUCAUCUUCGCCCACGGUCGCCGACGUAUGUCGCUGGUUGCCGCUGCUCCGGGCCGCCCCGACCUCCUAACCACGUCCACGAGCUCCGUGGUGAGCCCCUCCUCUGAUUCCCCUACUUUUCCCUUUCCAUCUGUAGCCAUAGCCGCCACCUUAUGCUCGUCCAUGGCCGCACCCGUACUGUACGCGCCCUGCUGCCUGCUAGCGUUGUGCUUACCGCGUCCCGCGCCAUGGCCGCGUCCCGUGUGCACCCCUGCCCAUGCCCUGCGCGUGCGCGUGCGCCCAGGUCCGUGUUCUUGCUAAUGCGCUGCUUGCUUGUGUUGUCGCCUUGCUGCUGCUAUGCGCGGUGACCUACUGCUACUGCUGCUCAUGCACUACUGCCGCCCGCUGCCGCUGCUUUGCUACUACUGCUACUUGCUCCUCUUGCUUGCCGCUACUGCUUUUCUCUCCUGCUAGCAGCGUGCUGCUCUGCUUGCUACUAGUUGCUGCUGCCAUUUGUUGCUACUGCUCUUGGCCAUGGGUGCCAACGCCCUGUACAUGGCCGUGUAUGUCUAGCUGGCUGGGUUGUGUCCAGUAAUGGCCGACCCUUGUUUAAUUAGGCUAGGUAGUAUUAGUUUAGUACUAAUUUAGCUCAUUAGAAAAUGGCAAGUGGGCCCUAGGCUAAUUAAUUUAAUUAACAAGAAUAGUCCACACCCUUCCCAUUUGACCAGUCAUGUUGACUUGGUUAAGUCGAAUUAUUAUUAAUUCCCGAAAAUUUCUGAAAAUCUUUAAAAUUUUGGAAAAUCAUAUAAAAUAAUCUGUAACUCGGAUGAAAAAGUUUUAUAUAUUAAAGUUGCUCAGAACGACGAGACGAAUCCGAAUACGCAGUCCGUUCGAACGCCACAUGUCCCUAGCAUAGCGAACAUGCAACUUUCUCCCUUCGGUUCGUCUGUCCGAAAAUGCGAAACACCGGAAAUGCUUUCCUAGAUGUUUUCCCCCGUUUGCCGGUAUCACUUAUCCCUGUGUUAGAUCACCUCUAGCACUACGUAAUGCCAUGUUAUACUUUGUGAUGCUUUGAUUGCUUUGUUAUUUAUUGUGUUCCCCCUCUGUUACUUCUUUUUGGUAGACCCCGAGACUGCUGGCGACCCCUAGUUCGACUACGGUGUUGAUGACCCCUCCUCCU